UACAGAGGUCCCGAGCGUUGUUCGGAUUCAUUGGGCGUAAAGGGUGCGUAGGCGGCGGGGAAAGUCUGAUGUGAAAUCCUGGGGCUCAACCCUGGAACUGCAUUGGAUACUUCCUUGCUAGAGUACUGGAGAGGAAACUGGAAUUUACGGUGUAGCAGUGAAAUGCGUAGAGAUCGUAAGGAAGACCAGUGGCGAAGGCGAGUUUCUGGACAGUUACUGACGCAGAGGCACGCAGGCCAGGGGAGCAAACGGG
rnacentral:rRNA from 1 species